rnacentral:rRNA from 1 species
UACGAAGGGUGCAAGCGUUAAUCGGAAUUACUGGGCGUAAAGCGUGCGUAGGCGGUUGUUUAAGUCUGCCGUGAAAUCCCCGGGCUCAACCUGGGAAUGGCAGUGGAUACUGGACAGCUAGAGUGUGUCAGAGGAUGGUGGAAUUCCCGGUGUAGCGGUGAAAUGCGUAGAGAUCGGGAGGAACAUCAGUGGCGAAGGCGGCCAUCUGGGACAACACUGACGCUGAGGCACGAAAGCGUGGGGAGCAAACAGG